rnacentral:rRNA from 1 species
UGGGGAAUAUUGCACAAUGGGCGCAAGCCUGAUGCAGCCAUGCCGCGUGUGUGAAGAAGGCCUUCGGGUUGUAAAGCACUUUCAGCGAGGAGGAAGGUGGUGAGCUUAAUACGCUCAUCAAUUGACGUUACUCGCAGAAGAAGCACCGGCUAACUCCGUGCCAGCGGCCGCGGUAAUACGGAGGGUGCAAGCGUUAAUCGGAAUUACUGGGCGUAAAGCGCACGCAGGCGGUUUGUUAAGUCAGAUGUGAAAUCCCCGGGCUCAACCUGGGAACUGCAUUUGAAACUGGCAAGCUAGAGUCUCGUAGAGGGGGGUAGAAUUUCCAGGUGUAGCGGUGAAAUGCGUAGAGAUCUGGAGGAAUACCGGUGGCGAAGGCGGCCCCCUGGACGAAGACUGACGCUCAGGUGCGAAAGCGUGGGGCAGCAAACAGGAUUAGAUACCCUGGUAGUCAGCGCUGUAAACGAUGUCGAUUUGGAGGUUGUGCCCUUGAGGCGUGGCUUCCGGAGCUAACGCGUU